GUUCAUUCAUAAUCCUCCACAUCGGCAUCGAGGGCAUCGAGAUCGACGGUUCUGAGAUCAGAACCGGGUCAACAGAAUUUUCAACCUCGCAAAUCGCUGAGAAACCACCGGAAUAUGGAUUUCUGAAUUCCACUCGGCAAAACUGGGCGAGCAAAUUAAAUAAAUUCUUCGAAAUCGACUGGACGGAUCACAAAAUAUAUUCUACUUCUUACCUAUGAAGAUCGGACCGGAUCAACACUUCGUCGGAAAACGGGUCAAUGCAUCGGAAAUAACAGGUAUGUUCCGCAAUUCCUCGUCACCCGAUUUGCUACCAAUCCGUAGGCACCAGGAUCGUAAAAUUUUGUUACGGUGGAAUCAAACGGAAACGGAUAUGGCAACAGCGCCCGUAGCUUUUCGGUUCAACAGUAGCACCAAGUAGAGCCAUCCGAACGUACGUAACGACGCACUAA